GGCUCAGAUUGAACGCUGGCGGCAGGCCUAACACAUGCAAGUCGAACGGUAACAGGAAGCAGCUUGCUGCUUCGCUGACGAGUGGCGGACGGGUGAGUAAUGUCUGGGAAACUGCCUGAUGGAGGGGGAUAACUACUGGAAACGGUAGCUAAUACCGCAUAACGUCGCAAGACCAAAGAGGGGGACCUUCGGGCCUCUUGCCAUCGGAUGUGCCCAGAUGGGAUUAGCUAGUAGGUGGGGUAACGGCUCACCUAGGCGACGAUCCCUAGCUGGUCUGAGAGGAUGACCAGCCACACUGGAACUGAGACACGGUCCAGACUCCUACGGGAGGCAGCAGUGGGGAAUAUUGCACAAUGGGCGCAAGCCUGAUGCAGCCAUGCCGCGUGUAUGAAGAAGGCCUUCGGGUUGUAAAGUACUUUCAGCGGGGAGGAAGGGAGUAAAGUUAAUACCUUGCUCAUGAC
rnacentral:rRNA from 1 species